UACAGAGGGUGCGAGCGUUAAUCGGAAUUACUGGGCGUAAAGGGCGCGUAGGCGGUCAGCACAAGUCAGUUGUGAAAUCUCCGGGCUUAACUCGGAAAGGUCAACUGAUACUGUGCGACUAGAGUGCAGAAGGGGCAACUGGAAUUCUCGGUGUAGCGGUGAAAUGCGUAGAUAUCGAGAGGAACACCUGCGGCGAAGGCGGGUUGCUGGGCUGACACUGACGCUGAUGCGCGAAAGCCAGGGGAGCGAACGGG
rnacentral:rRNA from 1 species